rnacentral:rRNA from 1 species
GGGCCCGCACAAGCGGUGGAGUAUGUGGUUUAAUUCGAUGCAACGCGAAGAACCUUACCAGGGUUUGACAUCCUGCGAAUCUCUUGGAAACGAGAGAGUGCCUUCGGGAACGCAGUGACAGGUGGUGCAUGGCUGUCGUCAGCUCGUGUCGUGAGAUGUUGGGUUAAGUCCCGCAACGAGCGCAACCCACGUCUUUAGUUGCCAGCAUUUAGUUGGGCACUCUAGAGAGACUGCCGGUGAUAAACCGGAGAAGGUGUGGAUGACGUCAAGUCCUCAUGGCCCUUACGGGAUGGGCUACACACGUGCUACAUGGCAGUGACAAUGGGUUACCCCCAAAAACUGUCUCAGUUCGGAUUGGAGUCUGCAACUCG